UCUGAAGCUGCAGCGAUGAAGACUCUACUUUUAGAGCAGAAUAUAAUUCUCCGAUGACAUAAUGUUGGAAGAAGAAGCUAACUCUACUGUUCAGAACGCUAUCAAAUGUCGCCAGAUGGUACAAGGGCUUAUGCAAUCCAACACUCUAGUAAAUAUAAUUGUGGUGACCAGCUCAUUUCAUAUGCAACGAUCAAGGUACAUUUUCAGCCGUUUAUUCCAUUCCGAAAGUUUUCAGUUACACUUCGAGGAAUCAGAUAACAAUGUAAAAGAUAGCGUUCUUCAUGAUCUCUUAAAAGUAGAGGAGACAAUGAUAGAUCGUCUCAAAUCUGGGAAACAUAGAAUAUUUGAAGAAGCCCUGGUGAAUGGGUGGGACAGUACGUAACGGGAAAAGACUAUGGACCAGGGUCUUUGUCUUAAUUAAUCGUUACUUAUAGCUUGUUUAGAAUUCAUGCUUCAUUACUUGAGGCAUACUUUCUUCCAAUAAGACAGAAUUGAGAUGGUUUUAUGUUUGACUGU